GUGCUAGCUUUGGCAGAACAUAUACUAAAAUUCGAACAAUACAGAGAUUAGCAUAACCCCUGCGCAAGGAUGACACGCAAAUUCAUGGAGCAUUUCAUAUUGUU